AGGGCAGAGCAAAAAAAACAAGACAUCAGUAUUGCCGAGUAUUUGCUAGUACCUGUUCCCAAGCUAAGGUGAUGCGCCAAGACUCAAUGUCACUUAUACAGGAUGUUGAUGGAAUUUACUAUAUAAAAAAAAUCUCCCUUCUAGAGUAAAGAGUAUCAACAUUACAGCUCGACAGACGGUGCGGGGAUAAAUGAAACAGACAAAAGACAAACAAGAUAAUAAUCUGUUUCCAAUCACUUAAGCCCUGUAGAGUUAGUAAAAUGUUGCUUGCAUAUUC
rnacentral:lncRNA from 1 species